rnacentral:lncRNA from 1 species
CUCCUGUGUCCUCUCCCCUUUCUGCUGCAGAACCAGCUUCAGUUCUGCAUGGAGCAGCUGCCUCUGAGCCUGAGGGGCAUAUGGCACCAGCCUGCGCUCACCUGAGGGUCACCUCCAGCUCCUUGGGCCUCCUGGGUCCGGGGCUCUAAGAAGAACCCCCACCUGGCAUGCCAACCCGCCAACCCCUAUUGCACAGGGAAAGGUCAGGCCUCACGCGGCACAUUCCCUCACACAAUGGCCCAUCUGCUGUGCUCAGUUGCAUUCCGCCCCUGCCCACCC